CCUUCAUCACUACCUUUACUCCAUUCUACUUCUACUUCAGUUUAAACUUAGAUCAUACGCUGUGCAUUAAAAUGAAAAAUGCACGCUACUGUGAUCGAAGUGUGAACAAACAAGAGCACAACUCUGAACUCUCCUUCCUCUUAGUAUUGCAGCAACAACAACAACAGAACAAAUCCAGGGCUUUGUUAUCUCUUGAUGGGUGAGGAAAGAAAGAGUGUGAGUAUUGAGAUCACAUAGAACUCUAUUUCCAGUCCAAACAAUGGUGGCGAUUUUAUCAAAACUGCCGCCAAUGAAUUAAACCAAGGAAACCGUUAAAACAGGGUGGCGGUUAAGUGAACUAAACCAGCGGUAUUCGCAUUAAACCAGCCGGUCAUAAUUAAAUUGUUCUUAGAUCGACUGGUUCAAUGCUUUCCCUCCAUUGAUUUCUAAAAUCAUGGAGCCGAUUUCUGCUCCGUCCGUCUUGGGAGAGAGCAACGACUCCUCCGCUACAUGGGAAGAGCAACGAUUUCUCUCCCACACAACUCUACUUCUUUACUUUCUCUCUCACACAACAAUGGAAGGUUUCCUUUGAUCGGGAGUCUGAAUUGAUCUCUAUUUAUAUUCAAUCGGCGCAGAGCUGUGAAAUUCAACAGAGAAGUCGAGAAAGGGCUUCAACAACUGCUGCUCUACACUCCUAGUACAUAGAAGAACAAGGAAAGGGCGGAAGAAGCUUCUUCUUUUAUUUACGUUUUCUUACUUGAUUGGAGAAGGGCUCCGCUUUACUGGAGGGCUUGCAGAGAUUAUGACGUUCCAGAGCCUUCUUUUGGGUGGAAGAUCAGAGGUAUAUGAUCAAUACAGGGAUUGGUGGCUUGAAGUUGAUAAUAUGACAUGAGGAAUUUCUUGAACUGGGAGGUAAAAUUGGAUAUGUAAAUACUAGUUUAAGAGAAGAUGAGAUAUUCCAUUGCCUCAGAAAAAUUAAGCACUCCUUUAUGGAGGAUCUGCAAUCACAUAUUCCCACUGAAACAGAUUGGAAAUGUAGCAUUUGUCAAGAAGAAUAUGUAGUUGAUGAUGAAGUGGGAAAGCUGGACUGUGACCACAGUUAUCACCUAUUUUGUAUAAAGCAAUGGCUUCUGCAGAAGAAUGCUUGCCCUGUCUGCAAGGCUGCUGUAGCAGCAUACUAAGAUUGGAAAUCAUUCAAGAAUAUGAUGCUGAUAAUGAGAUGGGAAAGCUGGAUUGUAGCUAGAGCUAUCACAUGUUUUGCUUAAACCAGUGGCUUCUGGAGUGCUUGCCUGGCAGCCAUGCUGCCAAGUGCCAGCUCAAUAUUAAGAUUGACUUCAUUUGAACCUCAGUGUCUGCCAAUGGGUAUUGGAUCAGUGUUUCUCCUUUAUUGCUUUUUGUACAGCUUUAGACUGAAAUAAGCAUGCAUCCAUUCUUUGUUGUGUAAUUCCUCUACCCGUUUGUCUAAUAUAAAAUAUUGGGCUUUUGUGGGAGCCACAAACACUUGAAAGUUUACAGCUGUUGUCAUCACCAUUUCAUGGGCAACAUUUACAUUUCAUUCAGUUGUUUUGGUUCCUGUGAGAUGAAAAUACUUUUAAUGCAGUCAAAAGUUACCAUUCAAAAAAAUUAGUUAUAUUUAAUCUAUUUAUCAUUUUCAUUCUUCUGUCUACUGUUAAUAGAACUCACAUAUAUAUGGAUGUGAAACAAGGAUCUGCUGCAGUGACAAAAGCUGAGCAGUAGCAGGAUUAAUUUCAAUGAUACUGGUAAGACUGCAUCAAGACAGACGAUGAUGAAAAAAUCUAUCCCCAUAUCCUCAAAUAAAGCCAGCAACAAAAGUAAGAGCAUAAUUGGACUGGUAGAUGGUGAACCUGAGGAUGGAAAUAAAACAGGAAAGAAGARAAACCUUGGAAUAAAAAUGGAAUCACCAAACCUGCAUCAAGUGUUCAAUUAAUUAUAGUGCUUCCACUACUACUUACUAUUUUCCCUUUUUUUUCUUUGCCAAUGGAGAUACUUUCUGGGAGCCAAUUUGCACUGAAAAUUGCACUCAACACCAGAUGGGAAUGCUGUAGAUGACUUCCCUUCAUCUUAUGAGUAGGAUAAAAAGUCCUGCAGUUGGAAGAAAAUUGAGACAGUACCUACUCUGCCCAUAUUUCUGAAGUUCCAGGAUGUCAAAUACAAGAUAGUUAUGAACAAGAGAAGAAGCUCAGAUGCUCAGAAGUACAUACUCUAUGGGAUUACGGGUUCAGUGCAACCAGGUUCGUGCAACAAUGUCGUGUUUCAGAUAACUGAGUCUAGAGUAUAGAGUUCAUUUUGACCAGAAGGAUCUCAGCCCUCAUACUUUCAAAAGAACCGAGUCUAGAGUUCAUCCAAUAAGUGAAGCUGAAGGUGUUGAAAUGACAAACAAUGUAAAUGAUUCACAAAUAACACUAAGGAUUCAAAACUAGGAAGUUUCAGAUAUUCGACCGGAGGAAGAGGAACCAAGACAACAACAAGGAAUCUCCUCCCACAAACUGCAACCCAACUACAAGUUUAUAUCAUAUUUGAUGGAAAGAUUGCCUUGGUUGAUCAAUAUGUGGCUAGCUUUUUGUACAAGCGUAGUUGGAGGAUGUGGCCUUGUAAUAGACUAAUAGUAAUAUGUGUGCAAUGUAAAGUGUGAACACUCUUCAAUGAUUGUAUUGAAUUCUUGAUUAGAAAUGCAAAUCAGAUUUCAGAUUA